rnacentral:lncRNA from 1 species
GCGGGUUGACAGCUGAUAUGCAUGACAAAGCGAUGGAUUCUCCUAUCUCAAGGGAUGCUAGGCUCUUUUCACUAGAAAAUAGAUUAGGUCACCUAUGAUACGAAGCGCUAAAGAAUGCCAGCCUUAUGCACCGGCUCUAACGGCUGACACCCAAGAUAGAUGCUUUCAGUCAUCAAUGCUUAUAAGGAGUUACGUGAUUCCUUAGUAAACCCGCUCUUUCAUUUCAACUCCGAGAUGGAUGCAUAAGAGAGCUCAAACCAUCGUCUUUUACAGUGGGUAGCCGGUCUCAAUGUUGGCCUUCCAUCGGAGUUAUGCCUUCCUAUCGCUCGUCCCUGCUCUCAUCAGUCAGAUCAGAAGAAAGAAGAUAAAGCACCAGAUAUCUCUUCCAAUACGAUUCGUCACGUGCUAUUCAAUGACCAGAGUUAUGGAUAUACAGCUCGGAGACGUCGAACAACAAACAAUUCGUGUAUUUGCAUCUAGUCGAUUUAUUAGUGAACAAGGAAAAAGGAAAAAGUCUGGAUAUUCAUAUCUCUGAAUUGACUCAUGUUUCCAAAAUAGAGUUGAUCCCCUGCCCGAUCCAUUGGGGGCAAACGCCUACUCAAUCUUGCUGGGAUUUCUCCAUGGUUCCCGUAUCUAUGAGAUUCUUUGGAUUUAUUUACGGAAGUUCAGAUCCUACCAAAAUGGGCUUUUAUUUGUAUACAUUAUUUCUCUUAUCCAUGUGUGAUAUAUAUGUGAAGUUAAUCCUCUUCCUUGGCGAGAACGCACAUGCAUUCGUUCGAUCUAUUUCUGUAUUUCUCUAUAUGAAUCGUAUGCUUGUUACAAUGGUUACAAUAUCCUCUAAAUUCCUCUAAUCGACCAGAGUAGUAGUUUGUGCACCAUAGAUCUAAUAUCACAUAACACCACCAACAAACAAACUGAUUCUUUAAGAUAUUCUAUUUUGUGCCUCAAUGACAUUCUUUAUAGUCGGGGAAGUGUUGUUACUUAAUUCUAUAUGUAUGUGGAUAGCUAACUUCCGUUGUUACUUAAUUCUAUAUGUCUGUGGAUAGCUCAGUUCCAUUCUUUCUUUUGGACUAAAUGACACAAGCCUAAGGGCGAAAGACUAACUCCGGCACGCUGAUACGAAGACUGGAACUCGUAUACUCUACUCGCUGAAGCCAAUAACCAAAUCACCUCUCUCGGUAGACUUAGAACCAAUCACUGAUCUCGCAGACAAAGCUCUCACUUUUGACAAUUAAGCCUUCCCCGCUGAUGCUGCACUUAUAAGAAAUACUUCCGGACUUUCUUCUUAACCGCCUAGUGGGUCAGGUCAAUUAUAGUGCAACACAAUCACCUCUUUUGCAGCUUACUUUCGCCCUAAGAUCUGACCAGCAGUUGAUCAUUCCAUUCUUCAAUGCUAGUAUUACACUCUAUUCAUAAAGGAAGGAGCUAGAGGUUGGCUAUAAAGAGCACUAGCACAAGUGUUAACUGAUUCGAUUAUGCCCCUCCGGUUUGAAGUAAGAAAACCUUAACUGUGUUAAAGUAGGAAAACAGGGAUUCUCUCUGCUACCUCUUUCCAAUCAAUACUCAAUCUCAUCUAACUCAGGCUACUAGAACUAUGGCUCCUUGGUUACUUCUUUCUAUCAUACCUAUAGUGAGAGCGGGGAACAAGACGGAUUCUUUUUCUUAUUAUUCGGAUUCUAUUGGCUCAGCUUCUUGAUCUUGAAACUGCAUCUGAUGUUACUGCUGAUGGUGAUCCACCUGUUGCUGAUGGGGGGAAGACAUAUACGAGGACAGGACUACCAGUACUACUACGCCUACUUCUUUCCACAAGCCCAGCUGCUGACACAUAGGAAAGUCGAACUGCUGCUGACACAUAGGAAAGUCGAACUGAAACAUCAUUAAUAAGCACAUCCACUGGUCCUGAUCCAGCUUAUAAUAAAGCAUAUGUUUACUCACCACUGGAAUUUAGAACAGCUGAUGAUAUAGUUUCUGCGCUAGGUGUGUGUUACCGACACAGGGAGUGAGUGGGCUGUUCCAUUCUGAUUCUUUUUCUAAAGAAGAGAGACUCGGGACUUGAUUUAUUGCCCCUUACUAGUUCUUUUCUAUUUAUUGCUCCUUACUAGUUCUUUUCUUGUGCACCCCGACAAAAGAAGGAAUUCCAUCUUGUAGAACUGAUUGUGGCGUCCAAGGUCGCUCUCGCUUUCUCGGUUCUGUUGGUUGCCUCUACCUCAGGGUAGGCAAUGUUCAUUUACAGCUUAGAUAUGAUUGCAAAGCUCUUCCGAAUAAUAAGCAAAGCUUGUAUCUAUGAGUUUCCCAUGGCUUAUUAGAGAAUGAGGCCCUCUUUUGCCCCUUGAGAAUGUUCUUAUGAAGCAAGCGAGGUGAAGUUGAAUCUGUUUGUCUUAGAAAGAGGUGAUUGUGCUCUCGUAUCAAAUCUGAAAAUAGAGGAAAUUCAAGUGUAGUGAUUGGCUUUCUAGAGUAGGGUGCUUGGCUUUACUUUACCUUAGUUGUCUACGAGUUCCUUUAGUUGAAGUUUACAGUUAGCACCGAGAGAAGAGGAAGAUUCCGUUUGAAGAGAAAGAUCUGAAGCCGUUAGGUAACAACAUUUUCUCUGUGGUGCAAGAGAAAUAACAGAAGUAUUUGUUUCCUCUGCGUACUCCUUGGGAGGCGGGCUCUCAUUACAUCAUUACAUCUACAAUUCUGGUUUUCGGGAUCUUCAGCAGGAGACGAAGCAGUGAGAGUGGAGUCUACAAGAUCCGUGCGCAAGUCGAGUUAACCUUUUUCAUUCCAUUCGAACUUUGGAGGUGAGAGAACCAGCAGUGUUGACCUACUAGAGUUAGCGUACCUUUCACCUUUGCUUUAAGAGCUGGACUUGAUUGAAGAUACAUACAUUACCUUUGACUUCGAGCAGUAGGGCGAGAGUAAACCAGGAAAAGUGAGGGUAGAUUGUCAUUAGGGAAUCAUAGGCUCAAGCAUAAGAGCAUCUUUCGAGUGCAGAAUCGGGAAAAGAUUGGAGUCUAUCAGCUUGCCCGACCUAUACGUCAAGUGAAUCAUGAAAUUAAUGAGCUCUUGCACGAGCUCGGAUAGAUCCAAGUAAAGACAUAGCUAUAGCUUACCUUUCUUUAGAAUAAGAUUUCACAGCAUACCUUUUUUUGAAUUGAACUGCAACACUCGCACCACUAAGAUAAGAUACAAGUAUCAAGUAUUCCGCUAUAAGAUAUCUAGGAUAGGACUAUCCGAACUCCCUAACUGAGACCAGAGUAUAUCCCUUUUUGCUAAGUUGAACAUAGGGUGGGUGAACCGCAAAUCCAUCAUUUCUUACCUUGUUCAGUCCUGACAAUGCAUUUUGACUAAUAAGAUAGCCCUUACCUUCAGAGUCAUACUUAGAUUAUCUCUUUCCAGCGGACUUUCGCUCGAGAUACUUACUUGCUUCUGAUCCUUAUGAUUGGACUUAUGGGGAUGCUUGUUAGGUGGGAAUGAAUUCCAUCGAGAAAGCUUAUCCAUCGCUGGCAAACGACUUCAAAAAGCAACUUAUUCGAGAGGAAAAGACAACGGAAUGACUCUGACUCAUAUACUCUGCAUUCCCAUCAUCUGUGCUACUAUCUUUUUGUCGAAACCGGAACCCUCCUCAAUAGUAUUUCCUCUCUAGCAGCCAACACAGGAAGAACUCCUCCCUCCUUCUUCUAAUCCAAUCAUCUCUCAUUCCGGAAUAGAUAGAAUCCACCAUUAAUGAUCAGAGUGAAGAUUCCGAUCAAGCAUACGUUUUGAAUUUCUAUACGUAACAUAAUCGAAUUGAAGAAGGCUUUCCGCACCUCCCAGCUGCAGAGAAUCUAAAUAGCGGUUGUUUGGCCCGAUAAGGAGUGUUUCGAAAGCUGCAAAUAGUCCGCCCCCUUUCAAGCUUUCUAAAAAGAGGGCUUUAUUGCAGAAAACUCCAUUAUGCUUUCCUAUAACCAGCGAGAAAGGUCUUUGCACUCCGAAAUGGUUGCAGCGGAUAGUUUGAAUGGUUGUUCCUGCUUAGCCCUCCUUCCCACUCCCUUCUCUCGCCCAGAACCAUUAAAAACACCUCUCAUCUUAUAUUUUCUAUUGGGUUGGGCUUUCCCUCUUUCCAUCUUGGAAAUUAGGAUGACGAAGUCUAAUCGGGGUCUCCCAAAGCCUUGAAUUCCAAAUGCAGAAAAAAGGAAUGAAUUGAACCUUCUCGAACGUCAUAGAUUAGGGGAUGAUACCACUCAAACCAUAUAUUAUAGAUAAAUGAAAGGACUGAAUUGAACCUUCUCGUCACACCAUAUAUUAUAGAAUAGAAGAAAAGGGUUCACACAGCAUAGAGGAAGGGAGGGCCUACGGAAUAAGUCUCCAAUCAAUCUCCGGUAGGUUAUCAAGUGAUUUUCUUGUUGCUCUUUCAUUUAGUGUUCAUUGUCGAAUCGGACGCUGAACCCCCGCCCCCAAACUCAGGGGGGAAGUCAAACUGUACCUUUAGAAAGCCAUGCCCCGGUAUUGAUUCUCCAUUGGCAAGUCGAGAUUGCAAAAUAGGCCUUGUGGGAAGGGCUAGCUAGGGAGUUGAGUUCAUAGUAUAUAGAAUUGGAUAUAAUCUACAGGAAGUAAAGAGAUGAAUGUUAUCUUAUUCACUCCUGUAACUCUAAGUAGAAGUCCCACUAGAUUCACUCCUGUAACUCUAAGUAGAAGUAAUACUAGAGAGAAUUGUGUCUAAAGAAACCUCUCCUUAGAAUUGAGAAUGAGAAGUAGGGCAAGCUCAGGCCGUUCAGGAAUAACUUCGUAACUUCGUCGAAGAAAGUGAGAUCUUGGUUAUGAACGUCCGCUGUGGAGACUACUAAGGAAUGGAAAACUAGCCAAGGCUAAGGAGACUGUUUGUACUAGAAGUCCGGAAGAGUAUAAGCACGAGCGUUCGCCUACUUGUGAGUCGAGUAUAGCAGUGUAGUAAAGACGGAGCCACAUCUUGGAGUAGUUUGGCAUUGGUCGCCUUAUAGAGUAGGGCCGACCUCCAUAAGCUUAUUCUUGUUCCUUCGUGAACUGAACCAUACUUAGUCACUUCCCUUUUCUAUAUAAAAGAUUAUGAUACAAGAUUCUGAAUACACUGGCGAGACCAACUGAAAGCAGAUCAUAGCUUCGAGCUCCCUUACACGCAGAAGAAGAUUGAACAGAUUAUUCUCUCGGCACCAACACUCGAACCCGCCAAGCUAACCUUAGCAACUCUGGUAUUGUAUAAUGGAUUCUUUCAGUCUUUUUCUUGAUAAUCAAAAUCAGAUUAAACGUUAGUGUACCCUUAUUGCUGAGAGUUUUGUAGAGCUAGCAGAGUUGCUUGGCUCUCAUUGCUAAAAAACUCAUUUAUGCUUGUUGUCUUAUAGAACUCUACCACAUGUUUUGCUUGCUAAAAAACUCACUUAUGCUUGUUUACUUUUAAAGCUGCCUAACGCACAAGGGCUUGUUCCGGCAACCCUAAGCACAAUGUGUGGCGAACUCCAAUCUAAACUCACUGUUUCUCUUGACUCUAAUAACUUGAAGAACGGCUUUUGCCUGCGUACUGGACUACUGGACGGAUGCUUCUUUCAUUUAUUCUUCUUCACAGUAGACGACCAAUACGGAAUUUCAAAUCCAAUCUAACUCACAAUUGAUAUGCUAUAUGUAAAGUAAACAACACUGCAACAAGCAAAGGAACUAGCACUCAAUCAUAACCCGUUCUUUAGAAACUAUAACUAAGGCUUUCGAACACUAAGGCUUUCGAACAAGAAUAACAUACAUGCUUUCGAACACUAAGGCUUUCGAACAAGAAUAACAUACAUAUUGCAUAGGCGCCACCCGCUCAAGACUAAGUGCUAAUGGGAGUUCUGAGUUGACUUUUGAAUCUAACCGACAUUGAUAUGAUAUAGAAGCAGCUUGUAAAGACACUACACUGCUUCCCUUCUGCCUUCGAUGCCGUGAUGACGCGGUUCAGUCUGCAUUCGAUCUACCACCUGCCCGAGUAGGAGCACCAUCUAGUAUAAGAAGCUAGCUAAUAUGAAGGAGCAAGUUGUUUGUUUACCAUGCUAUUACUCUUACUGUACUUGCUCAACACCGAGAUAUAGUCAACACCGAUAAAGAAAAGAAGCUCAAUAUUAGUCGCCCUCUAGCUCUGCCAUACUCUACAUUCUUCCCCGAACCUUUGCUUUCCCAGGGGCGGGAGUUACGAAGGAAGCAGUUCUUAAGGAGUAACGAAGUAAGGGAAGCAGUUCUUAAAGUUAUUGAAGUUCACGUUUAGGAAAAGAUUGGAGUAAUUCAGAUUGCUUGUUCACUGGCCACACUGUUGUUGCUGCUUGAGAAGUAAGCAAUGUUGUCACUUUCUGAAAUAUACUUCACUGUAUGACUUACUUACUUAUAUACUAAUUCUCUAUCGAGCUACUGACUGUAUGACUGAUAUACUCAUUCUCCAUCUAGUCCUUGAGGUUAGUUAGUUCAAGAAUGGAAGUCAAAGUGCAUUGUUGAGUUCGAGCAAACAAGCAUUAUUCUGGUAUUGUUCCCCGUUGUGCUAAAACAAGCAAGGGCACAGCAAGUUGUUGUUCCAGUUCAGAGGUCUGUGUUAAUUAGUUCCGUUGGGCCAGUAAAGUCAGAAAAGAGUAUGCACCUAAAAGUAAUCCAAGAGUAUGCACCUAAUUAAGUAACAAUAUGAGAAACUCCUUACUCUGAGGCAGAGGCACCGCUAUACCUAUUGAUAAGCUCUUCCCUUGUGUAUUGAUAAGCUCUUCCCUUGUGCUAACAUAUGAGAGUCAGGAACAAGUCUAGUUUUCCGGUACCUAUCUUAUUAUUCCGUUUAGCUACCCUUGAUUCUUAAACCUUAACACUACCCUUUGAUUCUGAAACCUGCAAUUCCAACUACCCUGAAUUCUGAAACUGUAAAUCAUAUAGUCAAUAGUAACCUUCACUCUGAAACUACUGCACCCAGAAACUCUUCCGUCUAGCAAUCUACGCGCAGGGCAAGAAUCCGUCUUUCUUCUCUUAACUGCAACAAGCAACAGCGAAAUCAUCUCUCUUCACUUGACUGGAAAGAAUCUAUCCUAACUUACCAGAAGGCGACGACUUACUAGAUUGGCGCACCCGCUUGUUUACUUCAAAUAUAGGGAUUAUUUACUAGCAGCAUAGUUUCCAACAAGUGAGUGUUAGUGAGUUGUGCUAAGGGUUACUCUCGGGUCGCUAAACUACAAGUAAAGCCAAUAAAUCAUAUGGUACUUUCUUUGCGCACCUGUAACUAAGUACUUAGCGCAAUAGGCAACCGAACCCUAAGAAAAUAGACUUCACCAUCUAAGGCACCCGGAAAGCUCACUAAGGCACAUCAGAAUCCACAAUCAAAUAAGAGAGAGAUACAUUUCGACUUAUAGAAUUAGACAACCCUAUAAGACCCACCCGACACUAAUAGAAGCAAGUAACAACACUGCAUUGCUGAACACUCCAGACUCUAGCCUUUCCCUCAAACACGGAACUUAGCCUUUCCGAACCUGCUGACCCGAGUAGCUUAUUCCACUUGGUUGUUGAAUGUAAGUUCGCCGUUAAGUUAGAAGAUGGGCACCCUUGUUCUCUACCCCUUGAAUAGAGAAAAGCCUGACUCCAUACUUGAGCGUUGCUUGUUUCUACUAAGCGGAAGCAAAGGCGAAGCAAUGCUGGGUAUGGUUCUACUCUAUCCAUAUGAAGAGACUAAUAUGACUUUCCAUUCCAUUAGGCGCCCUUUGAGUUUGUUUUGAAACAAUGCUGCUGCUGCUAGUCAAUAAGUGGAUUUAGAAAGGUAUGGUGCUGAUAUUGAUUUCGAAGGUAAAGGUGCUGAUAUUAGAACUAAUCACUCAUGUAAGCACGAUGGAACAAGCAACGCGCCGGAGAGAACAAGUAGCUAAGCAAACUAACAACGGGUAGAUCGAAAGUUACAAGUAGAGAAAACUCGGCUUACAGAGGCCCUUGUGCAUUCAAGUGUUGUUGCGGGGUACCGACAUCAAUCCUCUAUUCCAUAAGUGAGUCAAGCCUGGAGUUAGGAAGCAGUUAUGCGGUAGCUUACUAGAGCGGGUGCCUAGCAGAGUUAUUACGUUGCCUCUCACGGUGGAAGAACAUCAAUCUCCUGUUGCUUCGGUAGAAGAACAUUCAUCUUCUGUUGCUCGGGUGCACUCAAUUCAGUAUAGUCUCAUUCAGGACGCUUACGCUUAUUGAGUUUAAGUAAGGUUACUUUUCUCUAAAUGUGGUGGGACACCGUUGCUUCUUUUCUUUCGCAAGCCAAACUAAGUUCAGAAUGUUAGCUUUCAGGGGUGGGUGCUGGAGUGAUUAAAGUGAAGUGAGUAAAGUGUUUGUAAACGAAGCAAGCCCUUAAGUUCAUGGUUGUUAAUCAAUUAGAUCAUAUGCUAUCUCCAUGCUAUUCUUAUUGUAUCUCGAGAGCUCUCUUCCGCAAGCAAAGGGAAAAAGUCAAUCAGGCAAAGGGAAAGAGCUGUCAAUUACAUAAGCACUAACACAAAGGGAAAGAGCUAUCAAUCUGGUUCUUUGACUCUACUCUAUUGGAGCUAGUGCUGCAUAGAGAAGUCUUACAGGCCAAACUCUGCCUUGUGGUUAGUUAAUGCAAGAGAAGUGGCAAGUAUCUUGGUUAGUUAAUGCAAGAGAAGUGGCAAGUAUUUCGUCUAAAGUGACGUAUCAAGUUGAAGUCCAUCUAAUCCAGUAAAUAAAAGGGAGUUAAUAUGACGUCCACCACUCAUAGAUGAAAGUAACAAAACACUGCUUUUACUGAUUCAAGUAACAAAACACUGCUUUUACUUAAGUAUAGGGUUUCGGCGGCUACCAAUAUGAUUUUCUUUAGAGUCAAUAGUGAGUUUGCCGGAACAAACAAGCAACGUAUUAUUUCUAGCGUUAGAAGCUUACGCUGUGGCUUACUCUUGGGGGUGCGGGGUGCUAACGUGAAAUCAUAUCAGAGUUAAGGAAGCAAAGCAGCUUGUUUACUAAAUUCUAUAUGCGUCAUCAGGUUGUUUACUAAUAUUGAUAUACGGGGGGCAUCCAUGUUAUUUUAUUGUUCUGUUGAAAACUUCCGACUAUGCUAUGCCUAUAAGAGUUAUUAAUACUCGUUAUCAACAAGCAACGCGCUUACGCUGACUUUUCUCCUUGAGUUUUGGCUCUUUCUUCUUUGAAGCUGUAGUUAGCUAGCUCGGCACAGGUUGCUGCUCCUUCGUCUUUCCUUCCCACCCUUCGUUGUAAUAGAUGAGAAAAUGAGUAACGGGCAAUCAGAUAGUACUUGAGUGUUCGGCAAUAAAGUAACCAAGCUGCAACAAAAGUGCGAAAGAGAGAACGAAAAGAACUUCCGCCCACAAUGACACCCUAACUGAACUUACUUGACUUUGAUGCUUGGACCACUUAGCGCUAAAGAAGGAAUUGGAAUAGAUUCUUACCUAAACCUUAACCCUGUUGCAAAUGCUAAUACGGAGUCGCUCACUUGAUACAACACCAUACCUUUCAUCAGUAGACUAGACCGUUAAUUAAUGAAGUUGGGACGUAAAGAGAAAAGUUCUAUGCCAUUGAAUGGGAAGUUGGGACGGAAAGAAAAGUUCUAUGCCAUUGAAUGGGAUAGUGGAGGAAAGAAGGGGAAAUGUCAGCUAGUACUUACUUCUUCUUUCUUUCUCUCUUUUCAGUUCCAGAUGAGCUUCUUCACAGUGUCGAUAGGAAGUAUUAUGCUCUUCUCUUCUUUCUCUUCUAUUCUUUAUUCCCUUCUCUUCUGUAUGAUAGUAUAGGGUCCCUUCUUCUCUUAUCAGAGUUGUAGGUCAUAUAUGAAAGAGAAAGUUCAGGCUUGCAAGCAAGAGAGCAUUUCCUAACCGAAAUAGUGGUUAUAUUUCCCUUUACCCUAUACUCAGUACCCGAGAGUGGAGUCGGUGUGUGAGGGCAAGGUGCUAUCUUAUAAUAGAUAGAUAGAGUCUAAAGAAAUGGGUUCGGGUUCGUUAAUUGAGAAAGAGUUUAGUCUACUGAAAGUGUUUGUUAAUAGAGAGAGUCUAAAGAAAGUGAAUUGAUAAAGAGUAUAGUAUACUUAAAGGCUUUGUUGGAAGAAACUGUCAUAGCUGUCAGCGGUAAUGGUCACUUCUUCAAUUAAGCAGCAGUGGAAGGAGAUUCUCUCAGGAUCAAGGGGGGAAUUCGAAUAGUACUGCCAAAAGGGUUGAAGCGGGAAGUGAAGUUACUAAUCCAGCUCUAUACCGAAGUGAAGGGAAGACUCGAGUGCGGUGCCGGAUUAUGACCGCGCUGCUCAUGAAGCCUGGAUGUAAGGAAUUGAUGUCUGCCUCCGCUUCUCGUCCUCUCUGUUACCAGAUUGAAUGGAAAUGCAUCGUCGUGUUGUUAUUAUAUCCGCCUCUCUACCCUACUCCCAGAAAUGCUUCUUCCCCCCAAUCUAGGGUUAUCAAGCGAAGCGCUCGGUCCUGUUCUAAGGCAAGUAAGGGUGUUUCGGGAUGCAGGUGAGCCCACUACAUGGUCCUUACAGUAUCGGGUGACUCUCUCUUGCCCAUCUAAGGUCUAGAAAGACUCAAUUGAUACUUGCCUCACCGUAUCGGGGUUGCUUGACUCUCUCUUGCCCGUCUAAGGUAAGGUCUAGAAAGACAAAAUGAAUGCUUGCUUGCCCUAUAUUGUGUAUAGGUUCCUUAAAGUGGUCCGGUCCACUCGCUAACAAGCAAGGGAAAUAAGAAAGAAUAAGUGUAGAGAACAAGAAUCAACGGGCUAAAGAACAAGAGAAGAAUCGACGGGAAAAACAACCAAAAAAGAAUCAACGGGAAAAAACAAACUCAAAUGAAUCAACGGGAGGAAGGUAUGCUGCUCUGUUGUAGCGGUCGGAAGGAAGGUAUGGUAUGCGUAGUUGCUUGGUCCCCUAUAAGACCCACCUCUAAGCGGGAAGCACAUAAUUUCUCCUCGAAUACCAGCACCUAAAAUCUUUGAUAGGAUGUGGGAAGCACAUAAUUUCUCCUCGAAUACCAGCACCUAAAGGAUAGAGUGUGAAGCAAAGUAAUAUGGAAUCUUUUAUGAAUGAGACAAAUAAUGGAAUGAGUGUGUUUUCCUGUGUAAUAGAAUGAGUGUGUUUUCCUGUGCUCGUUCCGACACCUUUCCUUUACCCGUUGGUUUGAUUUAGCGUUUAUGCCCUUCCACAGUAUACUAUACAUAAUGAGUCAGUAAAUAAAGAAGGAUGUUCCCACGAAAAGCUUAAUCACUUGAAUUCGGAGUUCUUUCUCAUAUUACUAGUUGCAGCAGCCCGUCAUUCACUCGGGGCGGGCACUUCUACACCCAAUGUGGAAGAAAAGAUGAUGUAGAGCUCUUGCCGUCAUGAACGAGAAGGCUUAUGAUGCCAGAGUAUCUCCGGGUGGGCUCAAGCUAAAGCAGGAGAAGAUCGUUCGCUUUCUUCUGAGUGAGCCAAAAAUGGAGCGGGUCGGGUGAAUUAGCCUCUAGACGAGGGACCAACCUUUUUCUUAUACUGGAGUUACAGCUUCACUCUUUCAAUACUAUCGCACCUUUCUGGAUUCUCUUCUACAGUAUCCUUUCGUCGGGUCAAAGAUCAGACCUGCACUAAUGCUUUUGCCAUAAAUAAUAUCAAUUCUAUAGAGAUCAAUAAGAAAUACGGACCCCGACCUGGAGCGAGACUAUAUCCAGAUCUAAAAGAAGCGAGACUAUAUCCAGAGAUCUAAAAGAAUAAUGAGCUAGGCGGCCAGUGAGCAAAGAAAGGGGGCUCCACUUAUUACUUCCGGGACCUUGGGGCUUUUUCAUUCCCCUUAGUAAACACAUUAGUUAGAGUUAAGCGGUCUGGUAACGAAGUGACUUUUGAGAGCCCGAAUCAUGCCUACACCCUCUCCUCCUCAUUCAUGAUAGUAAGCCCUGUAGCAAAAAAGGGCAGGAGCAAGUUGGAAGUUCAGGUGACUAAGAGAAUGGCGGAUCUUGGUAUGUGUCUCGUCUCGGUCAAUGAAAUGUGAUCUAGCUACUCCUUCCUUUUCAUUAAAGCAAGCCAUAGUCUUAGUUAUAGCAAGGGUUCUUCCUCUAUCGAGGGGCGGAAGAUGAGAGCAGAAUCCUUUAUUGAUUAACCAGAAAAGAAGUAAGGGAAUCAAGUGACCACGACACUGAUCUUUUCCUGUUCAAUUCAGAUUUGAUCAAUGAUAUCCGACUAUAGAAGAGAAAGUCAAUGAUAUCCGACUAUAGAAUAGAAAGAAGAUCUGAGAACUGUAAUGGCCCCUCUUUAUAGGCAUGGCAUGCAUCCAUCUUUUAGUCAAUUGAUAGGUAUAGGCAUGCAUCCAUCUUUUAGUCAAAUAGAAAGGGUGCAAAGGAGACAGACCCGAUUUACCUCACUACCAACCUAGUCCUAACGGAAGGUUCCCCACGAAAAGAAUAGACUCCUCAAGUAAAGAAAUACCCAACUUCUGCACCAGCGCCCCAUUAAAAGCAAUGCAGUAAUCGAAGAGAUUACAAGGACUCGCUCUGAUAAGUAGGAGUCAAGGCUUUCUUUCCAGUUAGCGAGCGAUCUUACCGAGCCUCACCUAUUGAUGAUUGUCACCUUCUCCAUGAUCCUUAGGAAGAAAUGGUACUGCAAACAAUUCCGUUAUACACACUAGCCAUAUGAUGCAUUAGUAUAGGUACAUUAUUGGUCCUGCAAACAAUUCCGUUAUACACACUAGCCAUAUGAUGCGUUAGUAUAGGUACAUUAUCUUCAAAAGACAGAGAAUAAUAUAAGAAUAUUAAUGAAAUGCAUAAGAAAUAAUAAGUAAAGAUUGGAGUAUUAUAAGAAAGUCAAGAUUCAAUAGUCUUAUUCGUUUUUAAGUAAAGAUUCAAUAGUCUUAUUCGUUUUGGGGAAUGGAAUCAGCCUGUAGAAAUGGGUUGUAAAUCAGAUAGAGUCCAUGGGGCUGCCUGUUAGUAUAGGGUUCGGCUUCCGCUCAAUAAGUUGAGUAUAUGGAGGUACCUAUUGCAGUUGGUUAGGGUGCUGGUCAAUCAGUUAGUACAAUAGGGCGUGGUUAGCUUAUUUGAGUUAGGGAGCGCCUGGGGGAAUAGGUUGACGAGUUUAGGCUAGGAAAGCUCCCCAAGUGGACAGAAGAUCCGAUUGCUUGUUCAGUGUCAGAGUAUAUAGAAGUGUUCUAAUCUCUGAGGUGAAGUGCGUUAGUGAGCUGCUCGAAACAAGUCCGACAAGCAUACAAGUAACUAAAGUGGGACGCAGAUGCGGAAUAUGAAUAGACUAAUGCCCCGGCAAGUCGAUCAUUGGCUUAAUUGCCUGGCUUUUGGGACUCUAGUAUCACAAAUUCCCGUCGUGUGUGUUGGGCUUAUUCCAAUUUAUAUACAAACAUAUGGAUGAUUCUUCUUUUCCUUUGUUUGGGAAUGGACAAAAGAAAGGGUUUAUACAUGACCGCUUGCUUUGUACAAGAUGCUAUCGCUCGCUUUGUACAAGAUGCUAUAGUAUAAGAUGCAAUUGCAAAAAAGCCCUUUUUCCACUGGAAGCUCUACCCGCUCAAAUAAAACCAUCCUUUCCAUUUUGAUAUACCAGUAGAUUAUUUCUUACCUGAAUUUCGGAAUUGGAUUCAUUACCUUUCAAGCGUACUCUUAUGGGAAGGUGUUCUGGCGCCUAUGUCUCCGUAAGAAUAAGUUAUUCCGCCCUUAUCCAGCAGGGGAUGAAAGAAUCGUACUUUUCUUCUUGGCUAUACACAAUUCUUUUACAUCUUAGUAGGAAGGAUUUGAUGCAAAGGACCGGAUAAAGACCUAAGAGCUUUUUCUGUGCAUUUGCUUUGGAUUUGUCCUGCAAACUAAGCAUUCCAUUCCUAAAGUAAGUGCCAAAGUAUACUCUCUGCAUUAAUCCCCUUCCGCUUCCCCCAAGCGGGCUUGCCUUGUCCUCCUCUCUGCGUCUACUAUUGCUAAAGCCCUUCCUUCACUGGAAUUAUGUCCUUCCUGCAAGUGCUUAGUAAGCCUCUGUACUUCCUCUAAUUAAUAGUAUUUAUGAGAUACCUCUGUCUAGUAUGUAUUUGGUACCUCUGUCCUUCCAGCGAGUGUCUUCCUAUGUCCUGCAAGUGCAACGUCUGUCUCUGUCUAAUUACCAACCAUUUCUAUACAAAACUUGAACGAGUUGUGCAAAGGCUGCUUCAAAUGCAAGUAAGAUAGUCUGUCCUGGUAAGAUAGUCCGCCCUUCACCCCGACCUUGAUAAAGCAACAGAUCCUUAUGAGGUAGUUGAAAGGAGAAGAUAAAGAACCAUUCUUGUUACCCGAUAGGUAUGAUAGAGAUAAGUAAACUACCCUUUUUCGCUCGCUAAUUCACUCGCUACCGCGCAGUUGCCUAGUGAAACUCCCUUAUUCCCUUAUUCUCCCUUAUUCCCUUAUCAAUUUAGAAACUCUCCCUCAUUCCCUCAUUCUUUUAUGAACUCGGGGGCCCCUUUUACCUUGACCUAUGACGAAUGUUAGCUGUUGAGAAGGCAACUCGUUAGAAUGGUUGAGGGAUACUGACGCCGAAACUCUCACUUUCACUUUUACGAAUAGGCGCGGGUAGGAGGAAAUACAAAUGGUAAUUAAAUACACGUGAUUGGAUACUUUUCUGGUUUCUAUUUUCUGCACCCUAAUUCAGGAAUUAGUUUCGACAUGAUCUAUUUUACUUACUUCGACUCUAAGACAGAUGAGAGAAUUUCUCCUAAAAAAGCCAGCUACGGGAGAUAUUACUCCAACUUGAAAAAAGAAUUCAUAAUUGUGGGAAGUCUAAAGCAACUCUUAGGAGAUUCAUAUUGCUAACUUGGAGUGGGGCUGAGAAAACUAAGGUGAGGCAGGGUAUUUAGGGGAAUCAGAUCAUUGACAGGCUCAGGAGUGCCAUCCCGUGUACUACUAUCGUUGUUGCAAGGGAACAGCACGAAACCCUAGGGCAUAAUUCUGAUAUUGGAAUCUUCACUGAUGGAAUCCAAAGAAAAAGGAUCAAAGAAUAGCUCUCAUACAGGGAGUUAUCUUUCUCUCCACAGCGUAGUGCCCCCCUAUUUAUUGUAUCUGUGAAAACCCCUAUUUCUGGGCGUUUCUCUAUAGUCGCUAAUGUAACAUCCAUCAUGGAAACUCGGAAACUUUACUUGCUUCUCGAGCGUCAGUGGCCAAGCAACGAGCCAAGUCACUACAAAUGUUUAGCUAAGGGGCAGCUAGUUCGAACGUUAGCAUAUUUCGAUGAGGAUUUGAUUCCUUUCGCCCGAUAUACUUAACCGAUUAUUCUUCUGGAGUCAUCAACAAAGAAAGAUUCCACAAGGGAUGAAGCUAGAACAGAAACUGACUUUCUUCGCCUAGCUUAAGAUCCUAUAACUGGAAUAGGAAUAGGCCUACAAGGAUAAGGAAGCUAUUCUGGGACAAUCAGGACAUUCUAUAAUACAAACAGAUGAAACAAACAAGCUACUACGCAUUUCGUUUAUUCUUUCCUAUAACAUAGGUACUCUAAAUAUCAGAUAUCUUGACUAACGGAAUGAGGCUCACAGAUACAUAGCAAGUAGGAAAGCAACUACUAAUUGUUGGGGAUGAAACUAUCACAGGUAAUUCAUAAACGGACUUUAGAACAGAACUGAUCUAUCUGUUUCUUAUCUUGGAGUUCAAUCCAACAAGCUACUACUCAAAAAGCACAGAGAGUCCAAAAUCCCCCAAGUGUGUUAAUUUGUUCGAUGCCUGUAACGAGUCUGGUAUUCAUGGCGUUAGCAAGCACUAGACCACUCCUGUUACACUUGUAUACUUUCCCUUAUAUACAAGCAGCUUUUCUCUGUAACUAGGGUGGAUUAGUUACGAAAGUGAAUCAGUGCUUGUUAAGUCGAUGAUAGAAGAUCUUUUUGAAGGUCCACUACCGGUUUUAGCUUCCGUAGAGUUUCUUUGAGUGCGAAAGUAAUCUGUGUUGUCUACAAGAUAAGAAGUUGGACUGGAGAAGACUCCGUUGAAAGAUCAUAAACUUGAUCAAUAUCCGUAGUAGGAACUCGAAACAAUUCCGAGGGCUUCUUCCCUUUAGCAUUAGAAGGAAGGGUUAACAAGAUACCUGUGUUACGUAAGAAAACAAUAAAUGAAAUAAACAAGAGAAAAUCAUUCAAUUGAAUUGAGUAGUAGUGUAGUAAAGAAAUUAUUAGGAAUCAUAGGAAUAAGAGGAAGCUGUAGCCGUAUCAAGGUCCGGGUCAUAAGAAUACGUUCCUUGAUAAGUCAGAAUAGAGAAUAGAGAAGAGAUAUAAGAGUCGGAGUUCAGGAAGCUAUACCCGGAGAAGGAAGGUUUGGUUUGACUCGUUUGUUUCUAUAUCUAGUGCUCAAUAAGAUAAUAUGCUAGUACUGUUAAUAUGCAAGUCAAGUGUUUAUGGCGUCAGUUACUAAUAAAUACGGCCAAGCUACUACUAUUGGAUAAGGUUCAUUCUUUUACUGUUUGUUUGACCAGUAAAGUCCCGCUUUUGGGAGCCCAGUUUACCGGACAAGCUACUACUACUAGUCUGGUUUUUGCCUUCUUGCCAGCCCUGUUUCCCAGGCAAUUAAAUCAGUGUCAUCUAAAAUAGAAGCCGAAUAUCCUUGUAUGAUAUAUUGGGGUAACUAACCUACCUGGUGCUCCUUUAAGAAUAGGGAGUUUCUGUUUUCAAGUAAGAAAUACAGAAGAGAACUGUAAGGCAGAAAUGCAGAAUUCUACUAGUCAGAGUUGACCUCUUUCUCGCCAAAACCCUGUAAAUGCGAUUAACCCACAUAACCCAGUGCUCCUUAAACCCUGUACAUGUUCUUCACCCACAUAACCCAGUGCUCUUUCAUUUAAGAAUAGAGUUUACUUAAUUGAACUUAAAGUAGAGUAAGGGACAGAGUAAAGUGUUCGUGGACAAGCUACAGGACUGCUGUGCCAGUGGAAUUCAUAGUUUCGAGUUAAAGCAUCAAUUGUUUCCCGGGCCUACCUCUGUUGUAGAGUAAACCGGCUGACUGAACUGCUUCCAACAUAGAUGAAACUCUUCCAUGCUUUGAAGCGGGAAGGAAAUCAAUAAAUCCAGAAGGGUGCUUUUCCGAGCAUAGGUCGAUUACUACAAGGGGCUGAAGAACGUAAGGGCACAGAAAAUAUAUCCUUUCUUUUGCAUCGUUUAACAAGAUCUGAGUCAUGAACAGAAGCGUUUAGGUAAAAAACUUCUAUAACAGGUUAGAGAGAUUCGAGAGGUAAUUGUGGCGUGUCAGAGGAACAAGCAACCACUAUGCGCGUUAGGAACCUCCACCCGUGAUUUAAGUAAGAUAAAUAAUAAGUCAGAAUAGAAUAUGUCUAGCAAUAAGUGACUUGAGAGUUGAGGUCGUAAAAAGGGAUGCAAAGAAAUUCUCUAAGUUACCGGUUUGUUUGUAGCUGACUGACAAAACUGCUUCCGUAGCUGACGACUAAGCUGCUUCCUUUGUUGGGCCUGUUCACUAGCAUGCAUUUCCUUCCAUAACCUAUCCACUAGCAUGCAUUUCCCUCCCUAACCUAUCAAAGAGAUGUUUCACACACCGUAUAGUCCACGUGGGCAUGAGAUUCCGCUUCUGUAUAAGAUGAAAAAGUCAAACAAUCUGUAUAAGAUUAAAGUAACACAAACUUACAUCUUCUCUUACCUGCGCAUUCGGCUUGGCUUCUUCUUUAUCGGAUAUUCAAGUAGAAAAGAAAUGGACUCUCCUAAAGCUAGAAGAUAUUGCGCUAAAGCAACUAAUACGGAAUUGAAUCUAUCGUAGGUCUUAACACCUUGCUUGAAUUCUACAUCUAGUCUCACUUUACUGCAUCACCGGUCUCGCUUUACUGCAUCGCAGGCUUACUUGACUUAUUGCUGGACUGGAGUUACCUCCGCGACUCCUGACUUUCAAACAACUAAUCUCAAAUCUGGCUUUACCGUCUCUAGGCCCUACGCUCGUUAGCCACAUUCCUACUCUACUGUUUCACAAACCGCUUCCAUGCCUCUAUUCCUUAGUCCGUGGAGGAUCUACUCAUUCUUUGAUUACUGAGUUCAACUCCGAUGCUUACUACUAUAAUAAGUAUUAGCCCUAAGUAUAAGUACAAGUAUCCUCACCUCAGUUAUGAUAUAGAAAUAAGUAAGAGAAACCCAAACUCGUGCUACAAAGUAGGAAAGCAAGAAAACCACUCAGUAGUAACAAAACAAAUCCCUGACCACCUUUCACUCUUAAACUAUGGUAUCUCUUUCUUUUGCUAGUGUCAAUUCAUUCUUACAAGAUAUACAGUAUUGCAGUAAGUAAAGUGGAUGUCGAGUUAAAGUAGCAGAGGUACUAGUGGAAGAACGAAAGAAAGAAGUGGGGUUUUGACUACUGGUGAGUAAGGCCCGUUAGCAGCGAUUUCCGUAUUAGAAGCAGUGGUUACAGUAAUAAAGGGAACAGUUGCAUCCCCAGUUUCUAGCUAUAUAGCCUUUUCGAUAUUAGUUAAAGAGAGUAAGCCAGGACAUGCUAACUGGUAUUACUUGAAGAAUAAGAGGCAGUAAAGUAAGCCCUAGAGUUAAGUCAAACAAAAAGAAAGGGAUGCUAGUUUUAAGUAAGUAGUGGCGGGGUGAGAUAAGUUAUAAACGGAUUUGGAGUUAGGAGCGGUGGACUCAAGUUAAUAAGGCAUGCAAGUGAACAUAUAAGGAUUGACAGCUUAGUGAGUAAGGCUGGGUCUUCCGAGGGAGUAGUAAGGCUUAGUUCCCGGGGAGUUAAGAAAGAAAGAAAGUCAAGAUAGUAAGCCCGAGAGAUAGUUACUACAGAACAAAAGCAAAGAGAUAUAGACUGAAGUGCAAGGUAUGGGUUAAAGACCAAUACAAAGGAAAGAAAUAAUGAUAUAAGUUAAUAAUGAUAUAAGUGCUAGUCAGAAUCCGUGUUAUGGGAGGUAGAUUUUAAGCAAGUGGCAGCAUCCUUUCCUUAUAGUUAAGCUACGAGGCAUUAGUAACAGAUUGCAAAUGCAGCUAAAGGAUUAGAUUAAGUAGCGGCAGGCCAACGCUCAAGGUGGAGAAUAAAGAAAAGGGAAAUAGGCUGAUAGCACGGACAGUCAGAGUUGGAGCGAGGAAUAGGGAAUGCCAGGUAUAUCGCUAAUUCUAAGUCUUAUAGUAGUGAAUCCUUAAAAGCGCUAGUUCAAUCCUAUUAGGUGGGGUAAAUCUGAUAGUGAGCAUUGAAUGAGUUAAAGGCUGAACUCGCCAACAAGGGAAAAGCUACAGUGUACUACUGCUACACAAGAUUGGAACGGAUACUGGAAAGAAUGGAACUGCUAAGACCUUAAAGCUGCCUUUGCUUGCUUCUAUUCUCUGUACUGCUCCUUUGAUUCCUUACUAAAACUAUCCGACUGAAAAACGACUCCAAUAGAAACGUCGGUGUACGAAUCUCUCCUCAACGCCUGCCUCCCUUGUGCACCUAAUCUUGCUUCUUAGUUAGAGGCUUCCGUUCCUGUAUCUCAACCGGACUUACACUACUUUAUCUCAUUACCGCGCUGCUUACUAUAAAAACACCACUUACGGACUUAGAGGCUGACUAUACUGUGUCUCAUCCUUACUCCCCCGCCUAUUAGUCUGUUGCUUGACUUGCGGAACGAACUACUAUAGAAUCCGGAAUGAACUGAUAGGUAGUCAAUCUUACUCAUUACCCCAGAGCCUUAGCCUGACUUGCGUUAGUGUUAGCCUCGCUUUACUGCUUGAAAACUUGACUUCAUCUUCCACUCUUCUACUCCGGCCUUAUCGGGUGUUUAUCAAACUUAACUACUUAUCAACACUACUAUGUUUCUCAAACUUCACUACUUACACUACUAUUAUAGGUGCGGAAAGCCUGCUGGCAAACAGUAAAGACAAACAGACUACACUACAGCUACGGGCUUCUUAGUUCGAGCCUGGCCUGGCUCUACUCCCCUGGAUCUUAGCCAGCUACUGAUGGAAUCAAUUCUGAUAAUGAUAAUCCAAAUUCUAAUAUACAACAAUUCAUGUCACCACCAAACACCCAACUUGUUUUCUGACUUCCAAAACCAACCCAAUGGUUUCCUAGUUUAGGGUGAAAUGCUUUAGUGACGCUUUCAUUCCCUCCCAAACCCUUGUCGACUUCUACCCUAUUCUAUUCCGAUUACCUCUAACCUUUUCUAUUCCUAUCGGUACCUUUCAAAAAGCCCGAGUGUUUACCACUGCAUUGAUUCAGUGCUUCUCCCCGCCCGGUGGCAUUGAUUCCAUUCCGUGCAGCUCCCCGGCCCGGCACACAACAUGGCUAUAUAUCAAAUAGAACAAAUAUAGGAAAUAGAAAUAGUGGAGCUGUUCCAUUGAAACCAGUUACUCUACGCAAACCACUAAUAAUUAUAAGAAAAAAUCACUAUCAAUACUAUUGAAAUACUAUUAACAUUAUAUACUAUUGAAAUACUAUUAACAUUAUAUAAGUAAGAGAAUGUUUGAACAAGCAAAUCCAGAAAGAAGAUAAGGUACAGUAAAUAGGAUAAGGUAUAGCUCUUAAAUGACAAAUACAGAAUGAGGGGCAGGGCAGACUUUAAUCAAGGGGUGGCGGAGUGGACAAGCAAGGAUCGGAAGACCAACAAUCUCACUACAGAGGGCGGUGGGCAGGAGUGAUCAACAUAUAGGUGAUACAAUAAGGCAGGGCAGGCCCAUAGUCAGUAUAUCCAGGAUCCGGACCAGUAGAAAUAACUCCCUCCGCGCAACGUGUUCAACAUAACAUGUUUCUUAUGAGUCCAGUGUUUGUCUAAGUGACUUGGCUACUUAACACCGACCCACAAAGUGAUAUAACGAUUUCCCUUUUUGAGUCUAUUCCGCUAAGCAAAUAGAAAGACGUUUACUAUACAUGAACUUAAUACCGAAUUUCAUAAUGCAGAAAUCCACUACUAUAUCUAAGAUCUAAAGUACCGAUACAAAGAGUAGAACCCAGCUGCCAAAGCCCUAUUAUCUCCCCUAGCGCCUACCUCCUGUAACUUGACUCCCUUUGCUUUCAUUCCAUCAGUUAUUCCUCAAUGCCUUAUUAUUUCCCCACUUCUUGAUUCUUAUGUUUCACUUGUAUUGAUAUGUAUUGGAAUGUGUUUUCUCAUUAGAAUAUGGAUAUUAGUUUUCUCAUUAUUAUAUGGAUAUUGAUUUUCUCAUUAUUAUCGUACGAGAACAUAUUAUCAUCAGUAAAUAAACGAAGUGACACUAAUCAAACAAUCAGAGACAGGAGAGAGGUAGGCUCAGCUCACUCCCAGCAAAGUCAGAAAUAAGAUCGAGGAAGGGCGGGCUCAUAGGUGAACAUAUGAUUUAGAUUAAGUAGCUUCUUACAGGCCAAGAGCAAGGAAAGGCAUACUUCAAGCAAGUAGCAGAGGAGAAGGUCUUGAGGUAAGGAGCCGACGCCUAGGUAGGUUAGAAAGAAAUACAUAAUGAGAAAGGUUAGAAAGAAAUACAUAAUGGAAUAAGUAAGUAAAGAAUCAAGGUUGUAAAGACUCCAAAUAAGUAGUGCCAGGCUAAGAGCCAGUAAUGCAAGGUUGGUUCAUUCCACACAAUAAUAGGAAGGCGAAGUUUCUAGUAUAAGUAUGAGUUCCCAGCUAAGCUCUUAUUGGUAGUAGUAUUUCUAUAGUGGGCUGUAUUCCAUAGUAGUAUUCGUAUUCCCAUAAUAGUGUUUUAGGUUGAAAACAAAGAAAGGUAGGCUUGAUAUCAGCAGCACAGGGCUUUAAUACAGCUGUUAGUGGUCCACACCCUUAUGCCCCUUGCUUCAAAACGGUAUCUAUGCUUUCGCUCUUUAGCUACUGGAAACAACACUGCCGCGUAACGGGCUUACUGACGCGGGGAACAAACAAAGUUGAAGCUCCCGUUUUUAGCUCGCUACCGCUACACACGAAUACAGGACUUGCUCAUAACUUCGUAAGACUUGUUAUUCGUUGCUGCCGCUUUUCAGCUCGCUGACGCUCUUUUAACUCGCUACCGUUUAGCUCAGGCUCCUACCGCACAACGUCCGAGCACAGAUACUGUAAUAACUUCGUUAUGACUUCUGACUAUUGCUGACGCACAACAUUAGCAGUUGUUUGUCCCGUUGCUUGGUCAUUAGUAGUUGCUUGGUCGAACACAUAACUAGUAAUAACUGGGGAACUCUAGCGGCCCUGCCGCGCAACAUUAGUAGUUGCUUGGCCCUAUUGUUGUUACUGCCGCACAACUACUUCCGUAGUUGCUUGGCGUCUAGUAGUUGCUUGGUCGUUAGUAGUGGCUUGGUCAUUAGUAGUUGCUUGGUCGUUAGUAGUUACUUGCCCAGUGUCUUGGCUCUGCUUUAUUUAUGAUUUUAGAAAUUGAUUCAUCGGGACUAUUGGAUUGGAUUCUGAAGUCUACUCCCCACUCCUCUGUAAACUCAGUAAGAUACUUACCUCUGCUCUGUCAACAAUUCUUCAUUCUGAUCUUCUUUCACUGUAAACUACCCACAAAGUCAGUCCACAACCCUAGCCUCCAAGCGAGUACUCUCUGACUCCUAUACGAAGCCACCUCUUUUUCUUUUCACUCUUGAUGGCUACAGAUGAAAGUAGUUCCGGUCGGUUUGAUUCUUUAGUUCAAUACCAGAGGAUAGGUCAAUACCAUAGGAUAGGUGAGCAAGGUUCGAAUUCUCUACAAGGUCUCGGUUCUCUUCUCUUCAAAUUCAUAGUCAAGGGCAGUCUAUAAUGAACUUUACUACUGUGGCAGUCCAUAAUGAACUUUACUACUGUAAUGGGCUCAUUCAUUUAAUCAAGGGGGUUCGUUUUUCAUGGAAAGAAAGUUGUCGUCGUAUAAUCAGGUGCCUAUAGUCAAGUUAUUUGGAUUUAGGAUUUCGGUGCGCAAUGUAAAUAAUCGAGUUUGGAAUGGCGAAUAACAGUAUUAUAGGGUUCAUGGUAUGGCAAGUCAAUAUAUAAGUUGCCAGUAGGUAGGUCAUAGGGCCCUCGACGCCCCGCAGGGCUUUCAACAACACUUCUUUUCUGUCCUGAUUCCUAUGGUCAGUCAAAAAUCCAAUACAACGAGGAAUCUUCCUUCAGUAUCUUAGAUGCAUCUCAUAUUCCUUUCUCCCAACAGCUAGAUCAGCUCAUAUUCCUUGAUUUCUCUCAACAGCUAGAUCAGCAUCUCAUAUUCCUUGAUUGAUUUCUCCCAACAGCUAGAUCAGCGGCUGCUCCCAACAGCUAGAUCAGCUCAUAUUCCCCCUUAUCCAAAAUGUCGCUACUAUGCAGUGGUGAACAUACUUUCGUUUUCGUGCCUAGGCUCGCAGCGGAUGAGAACCCACCAUAAAUAGAGAAUACUAAGGUAACCCGGAAGCCCAUAAAUAUGGAAUACUCUGAAUAGAGAAUACUAAGGUAACCCGGAAGCCCAUAAGAAGAUGUGCGCCGAGUUCUCAAACUAUAGAAACUAAUGAAAAGCCUACAAUUAGGAAGUAUCAAAGACAAGGGAACCCCAGAGUCAGCAUCCAACAAAACACUAUAGGAAGCAGAAACCAAUAGGGUAGGAUAACCAAUAAUCUUCUACUUACGUUGGGAUUCAGAUCUUCGAGUUUCAGUAUAGUACAGUUUAGCAAAAGCAUCACUCUCUCUUUUCACGCUCGAGCACAGACGAUCUAGGGCCUCCAUCAUAGAAACAUCCUCUAUAACUGCCUAACUUAUGCUGCGUUGCCUAAGCUUCCUUUUCUCGUUCUAGGCCUAUGAGCUGUAGCAUGAGUUCCCGUUAGUGGGCUAGUCUUUUUCAAUCAAAAACAAGGGCUCGAUUGAAACAUGGGUUUCCUUGCGUAUGUCGCUUUUUCUUUCCAUUCAUUCAAUAAGAAAGAUCAAUAAGAAAGACAAGUUUCUAUUACUCGUAAAGGGAAUGUUGCUAGGUGAAUUAUCAUAUAUUUCGUUCUGAGUUUUCAUAGAUAGCCCGCCGGUUGGCAAGAAAGAAGUCACCUCGGAUAGCUUAAUUCAGUAUCAGAAUUUCACUCAAAACUAUAAGUAAGGUAGAGGCCAUUAUAGUAAGGCUCUAGUUUCAUCCCGAGUUGCAUUGCAUCCGCUCUUGUUGUUGUUGGCUUAGAGCCAGCUCCACUGUGGAAAGGUUAAGUUCCAAGAAAGUCUCCAAGAUCAGAGAAUCAUCAGUGACUAGUUAUGAAGUCAGUUACUUGUUAUGAAGGAAGCCCACUACUAGUUAUGAAGCCCCUACUCAGUAAGGCUUCCCCUCUUCUACAGGAGCUGGGAAUUAAGACCAAUACCGGUAGCUCACCACCUCUUUCCUACUUGCCCACUUCUCUAGUAAAGGUAGAAAUUCCCCUAUUCAUCUACCAAGUCCGGUGUUCGCCUUCCUAACAAAGUAGUAGUCCCAGUAUGAGUAGUCCUGCCUAGGUAGUAAAUAUAUAAGGAGUUAACCCGGUUGUAUAUAAGGGAAAGCCCCCCGAUUGCCUGCAUCUAGUACGGAAGUGAGAAUUCCAGAAUCAAACUGGUCGGUGGAAGAAUGAACCAGUGUAUUGGGUAGUCAGAAUUGACCUCUAACCUAGGAAUACUGAAUGGAAGAAUUCCACUGGGCAUGAAACUCAUAAACGGCUUAUAGUAAAUACUCGGCGACUUAAUCUAAGGGCAACUAAUACAGAUGCAACAAAUCAUUCCACUGGCAGCUGUCAACUAAACCUCUUGCUCUCAUCUAAUCCAACUCGGGCUACUAGACCUUAAUUCUUCUCCUAUGACUCCGGCUCCUCUCUGGCUCUGUCAACUAACCAUACUCUGGCAACUGCAAACUAUUCUCUAUGUUAUGUUGGCUUCCCUCUUUCUCAACUUUCUCCUUAAUAAUAAUAUAAUGAAUUUAGUAGGGGCCAAGUAAGGAGAAAUGCAAGCGGAACAUGAGCGGCCCUGCCGCGACACAUUAGCAGUGUCUUGGCUCUGUGAGACAAGCAACUAGACAAGUAACCUAAAGUAACGAGUACCUUUCGAGUACCUUAAGGAGCAAUAACAGAAUGUGAUAGAAUUCCAUAUGUACUAGAAAUAGCGAUAAGAAGAAAUAGUCAACUACUUGAAACUAUCACUCCCGGCUCAGCUAACUCAGGCUCAUCUCAUCUACUUCUGCUCUUGCCCCAACUCACUCGUAUACCCUUAACUUCAAGUCAAGCCUUAUUGUCUCCCUUCCUUGCCGACCUGACCUCUCUACUAGAGUUACCCGACCCGACCUCUAUACCACUACUAAGAAGAAUAAGGGAUCUACUAACAGGUCUUACACUCUAACCAUGAACUUCAGGGCAGCUUGAAACUUAUGCUCUGUGAACUCUGUCUCCUCCGCUUCUGGCUCUCAUCUCACUCAGGCUCAUCUCAGAAACUAUGGCUCUGUACUCUUUACUACUCUACUGAUGCAACAGGGCUGGGCUCGGCGGUAAGUAAACUCUAUUCUUAUUAUCAAGAAGUCACUCACUACUAAAGCACCGAACCUGUAUCUUUGAAACCAACCCGUAGUACUGUCAGACAAGCAUAUAGUAGUAGACUCGGAAUUGAACGUUGUAGUCAAAGAAUUCCACUAGCCCAGCAGCUGGCUACCGAGCACAUAGUAAGUAAGAAGCCAAGCAACCUCGGAAACAGGAAGUAGGAUCUCUAUAUUAAACUCAAACAGGAAGGAAAGGAGCACUAGUACAGGUGAGACUCAUAGUUCUCGGUUCGGGAAUUAAGGUAAGCAGUGCAGGAAUGAGGGCAAGUUCAAUGAAAGUUUUCCUCGGUGCAAGAAGACUCAGUGGAGAGGAUAGGUCGGCAAAAGGAUAGGAUAGUGACGCUCCUGUUGUUGGCGACGAAAGGCAAUGUUCCACUGUAAUUUCAUUAAUAAUGUAUUUGAUCCACUGCCCACUCCGUGCUAACCUAACUGCUUCUUUAAUUGAACUUACAAAGAAACUCAUAUAAUCUAGACUAGAUAAGAAAGAGCAAGCUUUGUAUAGAGAAAAGUCACAAGAUAGUACACUCCUUCGCCCCGAAAGUCAGCUAGAUAUAGUAACCCCGAAACAACAAACAAGGGAACGAGUAACUAUGAAACAAGUAACGCCGCAACGUAGUUAGUAGACAAAGGCAAGACCAAGCAGCCGAAGAAAUUCCGUAUUUGGUUGACUCUGAACAAGAAACAAGUGCUAAUGCGAGUUACUAAAGCGCGUAACGUAAGGAGUUUGCCGGCGCAAGGAAAGGAAACUAUACUAGCUCUAACCCCCCGCUUCUUUAGACUUCUUUUAUUUAUUAAAGAUUUUAUAUGUCCUCACACUUGGUUACUCUUAUUCUGACUCGCCCGAUUCUACUAUUAUUUAUUCUUCUUUCUCCUAGGAAUAGCUCUGGGGCGGAAUCUUGUACUGGUGCUCGAAAGAUGUCAUUCCAUUCUUCAAGUUGAGAGUAAGUAGCCGGAUCUGCAUACGGAUCUUCAGCUAUAAGUUCAGUGUGAGGUGACUUUGUUGUCGGUUCAAAACUUCAAGAAUAGGUUCGCUUUUGGGAAUCCACAAGUCCAGAAGCGGUUCAAGUGUUUGUAACUUAAUAAGUUUAGACAGUAUAUUUCGGUUAUUCAAAUGGAGUUGAGUUCGAGGAAGAAGAAGAAGAAUAAAGUACUGGUUUUUAUGCCCUAGCCCUAAGUAAAGAAGUUUACGGGUGGGUAUGAGUGAAGUUGACCAGAUAAUGAAUCACCAGUGGAAGGAUCAGAGUCAGUUUCACAGUCAGCAGCAGACAAGUAGCUUUAAUCUAAGGGCAAGUAACUACUAGAGCAAUAAAGUGGGUAAGUAGUUCAAUUCUGAGUUUACUCGGUCUCAGGGAAGGGAGUGGAAAUGACUAUCUUAUAUGGAGUGGAAAUGACUAUCUUAUAUAUAGCAAGCAUAGCCUACACGUUUUAUACCUUCCAUAGUGGUUUCAUUCUCACUUUACUACUUGCCAACUUAGUUGCAUUCUCAUACAUACCAGUGGAAUUCUAACUUGACUACUUACUGGCUGAGUCUACUGAGGUUAAUUCUGAGUUUCAUUAGCUCCCGAACACGGGACCACUGACUGACUUAAGGCUUACUACUUACUGGGUGAAUUCUGAUCGAUCUACCCUGGAUGCCGAACACAGGACUUUGUAGUUCCUUGGAUGAUAGCAAUUCUAUCGGUAGGCUUACUUCUCACUUAGGGCUUACUGCUGACUUACUAAUAACUUAGGGCUUCUCUUUUGCUUACUUAUGAGUGGAAUUCUCUCAUAUACGAUUGAAUCUCUAGAGACUAUGGAAUCUCUGCUAACUGAAUGAGGCUCCUCUCCUCUACCUAUGGCAACUAUUAACUUCAUUCUUAUCCUCUAACUCAGGCGCAUCUCAUCUACAUACCUAUGGCUACUAUGAAAAGAAUGAGGCUAAUCUCACUUAAUUCUAACUUGCUUCAUUCGACUCUCUUCUCUUUCCUUCCUCUCCUCAAGCUACCACUACAGGGAUGCAACAAGAACAGAAAGAUACUUUUACCAGGCAAGUAACUACGUUAGUUACGCGGCAGGGCCAAGCAACGUAGUUAGUUGCGCGGCAGUCGAGUAACGAACGCUAGUGAGUUAUGAGGAAACACGGGAAAAAACAUAGCAUGGGCAUUUCCCCUCCUGAGUGACCUGAUCGAUAUUCCUUUUUCACGUUUUCCCGGGAAAAAAGGCAGUGAAGUGAUUUGCCCUCCUGAGGCAUCAGAUUGAGAUUACAAUUUGACGUUUUCCCGUGUUUUUUCAUAGCAUCGAUGUUUUCCUUCCUGAAGGGUUCGAUGUAUCUUCCUUUUUUGACGGGCAAGUCACUACUAACGUGACGCGGCAGGAGUUCUUCCGGGUUUUUUCAUUGCAAAUAGUAGAGGAGUCAUCAAUUACCAAACCUAUCCCUUAUUACCAAUUCUCUGCAUCUCUACUUUCUUUCCCACCUAACUGAGUCAUUCACUCCUCUGGAUUUCCCACUAGCUCACCUAUUAGUUGCAUGUGAAGACUGGUUGGCUGUGGUUUGAGUCUGAUUGUUACUGGGUUGAUUCUUGUUGUUAGUAACUAUAGCCUGUAACGACCUCCUCUCAUUCUCACUACCCUAGCUUGCAGGCUGAGAUGCACUGCUUUCAGGCACCAAGCAACUACUAAUGUUGCGCGUUAGUCCGGCUGUGGUUUAAUCCUUUCUAUUGUAUUAGUCGUUUGAUCCACUAGGGUUAGUGGUGCAUCUGCUGGAUAGUAGGCCUCUCUAUUGACUCUAUAAGCCUAUGCGACAUGGUUUAUAUCUCUAAACUGACCUUCCCCGAUCCAACUCUACCUACCCUUACUUUGAUCCUAUAAUAGCGAUUACGGAUCCUUACUCUAUUGCCUAAGAGCCUGUCCUUACUGAACUUCAUUAUGUAUUGAUAGUUUGACUCUGCCGCUACCAACCUAAAAGCUACCCCUCUUUCCCCCUAGUAGAAGGAUUGUUAGCAGUGGUUUCGUUCUUGCUCGCCCUUGGUUGAGUCUCAUCUUUGCUAGCUCCGUUCUGAGUAGCACUGGUAUCAGGCUUGGAAGCAUGGGUUGGAGUCUUAGUAACAAUAGCUGCAGGCUGAGGAGCACUGGUUGGAACCUGCUCGGUGCUAGUUUAAGUCUCGUCGGUAUUGGGUUAAGUCUGUAACUCACCCCUCUCAUUCUCACUGACCUCGCUUUCAGGCUGUCACUCCCUUGGUUCAUUCUUGAUAGUAAUAGCAAUAGCCUGUGUUUAGGUAGCUCCAUUCCCAGUGACCAGGUACAGCAUCAGUCUCGUUAGCAUCGGUAUCAGUCUGGUUGUUGGGUGUCUUAGUCUCUCACUCCUUAGUGGCAUUCCCUUACUUGCUGGUUCCAUUCUGUAACUCACUGGUUUUAGUCUGUAACACCUAAGCUUCAGUCUGAGGAGCUACAUACCAAGGCUGAGUGGCACCAGUAUCCGGCCGAGAAGCUGUUGUCUUAGCCUGUCACUCACUCCUCUCAGUCUCACUUCCCUUGUUUUAAGCCUGCCUAGCACUUAUUUAAGUCUUAGCAGCCCUAGCUUCAAUCUGCAACUACUAGCAUCAGUCUGGUUGGUAGCAGCUAUAGCCUGUAACUCACUCGUUCCAUUCUCUGACUCCCCUGUCUCAGUCUGAUCGGAUCUAGUUGAAGGCUUGUUGGUAUCGGUUCCCAUUCUUUCACUCCUCGGUUUGAUUCUUGAUAGUAGUUGUCUUAGUCCCGCUUGUUAGCAGCUGCAGUCUGCUUAGCACUAGUAUCAGGCUGUUACUUACCCGCUCGAUUCUGGUUGGUAGUUGUUUCGGAAAUUAUAGUAAGGCACUCCCUCGGUUAAGGCUUGCUGGUGCUGGUUUGGUUCUUUGACUACCCUGUUUCGGUCUAUCACUUAGCAGCUCCAUUCCCCAGCUCACUAGCUUAAGUCUGCUCGGUACUGGUAUCAGCCUGUAACACCUAAGCUGCAGUCCGGGCAACACCAAUAUCAGGAUUGGAAGCUCAGGUUGAAGUCUGAUUAGCUGUUGUCUCAGUCUGGUUGUUAGGUGUUUUAGUCUUGCCGGUAGUGGCUAUAGCCUGUCACUCCCUGGUUGGAUUCUGUAAAUACCUUGUUUCGUUCUUUGACCUGGGUCGGAUAGCCUUGCACUCCCUGGCUUCAUUCUUAGUAUACUUGCUUGAAGUCUUGGACUCCCCUGUUUCGUUCUAUCCCUUAGCAGCUCCAUUCUCGGUGGUACCAGCUCUAUUUCCUAACUACCUGGCAUAAGGCUUAGCUGCAGUGGUUAUAGACCUUAGCUACAUAGCUGCAGGCUUGUUAGACACCGCAUCAGUCUUAGGAGACCCGCUACUAGACCUUAGCUACCUUAGCAUCAGUCUGGUCGGUACGAGAAGUGGAUGAGCCUAAUGAAGUUAAUAGGAGCAAUAGGAGAGUUCAAAGAGAAGGAAUGGCCCCUUAUAUACAAGUGAACUGGCUGUUACUUACUUGCUUGUUAGGGUAAGGGUAGUUGACAGUGAGUGCAGAAUUCCACCAGUAAGUAUAAGACUCAGAGCUGGGCUAAUAAGGUAGAGUUACAGAAUUGAACUAAGUAGUGCUAGAGUCUAGUCAAUAAGAAAUGAACUAGUAGCCACUAGAUCAGAAUGCAACUAACUAGUCAAAGAACGAAGCUCGAUCCAAUCAGACGGAAACCCCUUAUUAGAAUUCCGUUCAAGACUUCAACCAGGCAGUUCAAGAAUGCAACUAAGCGGUAAGGAAGCUGGUCUUCAACUCACUCGUCCAAGAAUGCAACUCGUAUUACCGGGGCUCCUGCCGCCAUGAAUACAAGACUCGGGAACAACUCAUUAAGACAUGUUAUAUGAGUUCUUUACUUGUUAUGCCUUUGUAGAAGUUGCUUGGCCCCCUUUCUGUCGUACAACCUUUCCCAGGACGAUGCCUGAGCCUGAGGUGCAAUAACUCUUUCCAGAUGUUUUUCUUCUUUGUGUUGGAUGCCAACCAAGCCAUUGAUGCUUUUAUUGCUCUCCAUAAAGUCACGCAUUUUUCGACUGGCGCUAUUAUCGUUGAUCUUGUUUCGGGAAUUAUAUCCCUUUGGAAGGAUCAGUAGCGCGUUCAGUAGCAUCGCUAAGCUAGGUGAGGGAUUCCUACAGGUCGGCGCCAUCUAUCUAUCCAUCCAUUCUUCAAGCUAGUAAGGUAAGCUCGCAAGGGAAAGCAAGUAAGCAGAGCAGAGGUAAGCUCGCAAGUCAAGUUUUCGACAAGCAUUGCAUCUUAUCCUACUGCUUUACCUACCGAUUCAACACCAUCCCCAUAUUAGGAAUCUUACUUCUGACUUUAUCCUUCGCAUUCAACUGCUUUAUCACCGGAUCCUUUAUCUUAUCUCGUAGACUUACACUCGCAAAAGAUACACUACUUUGAGCUCCAGCGGCACAAUCACCAGUACUUUCUUCUUUCCCUGAACUCAAUACUGUAUUUCUGAAACAUCAUUUCCAGCUCCUGCGCCAACUCAUUCCCUUCCAGCAGCAUAUUGUGUUGCUUUAAGAAUGUAAGUUCCAUGAUGUGAUUCUGACCCGAGCUCUCCUUGAGGUGAUGAACCGAACCCUCACUGAUAAAGCGGCAACUCUGACUUAAAGCUACCUAUGCGCCUAUCCUUUUUGACCAAUAUAUAUCAUAUAUAGCAAAUUGACUGCUUAUUAAGUUGCAUCAUAGAUCUUUCUCUUGAAACUCUCACUCCAGGAAUGGGCAUGGAAUUUCUGAAUAGAUCUGGAAUUACCGCUCCGUGGGUCUAUACAAUACCCCCACUAUCUGGCAACUCCACUCUAUGAACCACUUGCUGCUUACUUAAGCUAUGAAGAUGCACCCAAAGAAACAGGACUGUCAACAAUCAACCACUUUCCCUGACGCCGAGAAAUACCCUUAUCCAGCAACUGAUCUUUAAACUGACUCCCCACUCUCUUUCCUGCCCACAUCAACACCCUACUUUAGACUUGAAGAACAGCUUGCAGCCGGCUUCUCACUUGUAGCUGACCUCUUUUCCCCUGUUCCUUGAGACAAACUUCAUUAAUUGUCCUAAUCUCGAGCGGCAGAUCCUUCUGGACCUGGUAGACGCACUAACGGAGUUUGACACCCGAUACUCUCUGCUCUAGUUUCAUCCUGAGUUUAUAACCUCUUAUUUAGGGGGUUGUUGAGUCAACAAGGGGAAUUCCACUCAUAGGUAGGCGCAUCAACUAUAGUAGCUUACUCUCUCCGCUCUAGCAGUUAGUAACGGGUCCUUUUUGAUAGUACUGGCCGGUUAAGGGAGGAUUCUCUUACUUGCAAGGGAGUUUCACAAAUAAAUAAGAUUUAUAGGCAUAUGAUUCUCUUUCUUCUACUUUUGGAUGAAGAUCCUUCUUCCCUUGCCAUUGAUCAGUGAGGAAAGCUUUAAUUGAACUUGCACUGAGUCAACCAGCAAAGGAAUCCUUUUUUCGAACAGCGAGUAAACCAACCAAGCACAUAUACUCAGAUGCAUAAGAUUGGUCAUAUUCUUUUAUACCUUAGGAGCUGGGGAGAUACUAUUGAUUUGAUACCUUAGGAGCUAGAUCAGUUGCUGUAUCAAGAGAAAGUCAGUCAGGUUACCCGUCUGAAGGAGAGGCCAGUUCUGCUCUUGUUUAAUCGUAUGAAGGAGCAGGCUAAAGUCAUAGGUCAUAGGGAGGGGAAUAAGUAGCAUUCUUUAUCUAAUGAGGAAGCCUCGGUAGGUUAGGUGUUUGUUCUAGAUGAUGCCUUUAUUGAAGAAGAGGAUUGAUCGGAGACUCGCCUCUCUCCCAUUGCUUGUUGGGGCAGUAAACCCUUUUUCUAAAGUACUGUUUGUUAGCCUCGGAUAAACCCCAUUCUUAAAAGGAUACAUAAAGAUCCCGAUCGAUCCUACUUAUGGUUAUCUACGGUCUCAUCGAUCCUACUUAUGGUUAUCUACGGUCUCAGUGAGCAACGAGCUUCUUCAAUAGCUAGCCUAGCCUCUUACUCCUUUCUAUCAUACAGACAGAGCUAAUUCUACUGUUCUGUUUCCGGACUUCCCGCUUCUGAGAAAAGUGCUAUUCCCGCUUCCAAGCUAGUGGAUUCUUUCCCUCUAAUGAGUUCAGAUCCAUUGCAAACUCCUAAAUUGAACUACACUUUCUCCUUGACCGAUUAAAACAUCCCGAUCAGUCAAAUCAGUCAUAGCGAAGGUACGAUGUAGCGCAUAUAGUAAUGGAAAGCGAUCAGUAACUCUCUUUCUCUCCUUUAAUGGAAUCAGUAGAGUAAGCUAUAAGUAAAGAAGUAAAGGAUCGGAUCGGGUAAAAUAAUCUUCUAAAGAAGCAGUGCCCAUUGAAGAAACAUAAUCCUCAGUGCUCUGAACCAACCUAGUAACCAAUGCUAUCAAAAACCCAGGAAUCACUCUUUCGAACGGGGGCGGUAAGUUCACCAUAUUCUUUAUUAACUAUAGGAGUGGCGGUAAGUUCACCAUAUUCUUUAAUUCCACAGUAUUCCUCAAGUAAUUGGGGCGCGGCAGGAACCACAUCUUAGUACUUAUAGCUUCUAUGACCCAUUAUCUGCAUUUAGUAUAAUAAACUACAGCAACAUGGUUAUGACCCACGAACACAGUUUAAACGCCUGCCGCACUUUUAGCUCGCUGACGCUCUUUUAGCUCGCUACCGCUUUUCACUCGCUACCGCUACACAUUAUCCGUUACUUGGCCGGGAAAGCCUUGAACUCCUCCUGGAAACUCAGAAAGUGGUUGGUUGCUCAUCUACCUCCCCUCUGAACUCUGUCAACUAGCUAAUCUCACUCAGGUAUGCCUGGCAGCUAGCUAAUCUCACUCUGUCAACCCGGACUGCCACUCGGCCAAUGACUUAAGAGCUGUAGGCCAGUUUCAUCUGUGAAUUGACACUCCUGACGCCAUGCUUCAUAUCCUGCUCCUUCUGAUGAUGAUGUAUCUUCUCUUGUUCCUGUAGUUUUAUACCUUCCCUUCCUACGUAGCUUAUCUCUGUUACUACUUUGUUCCAUUCUUCAUAUUCUACUAACAGGUCUUCCACUCUAACUCUGACCCACCUCUCCUUCUGCCCUAUUAUUAAGUACACUGCUGACUAUAAGUACUGAAGUAAUGAAUUGCUAUCAAAAAAGCCGGGAAAACGCCAACUUUGGAUUUCCAUGAUGCCUUCCAGGAGGCAAAACUCCUUGGCUACCUUUUUUCUCGGGAAAACGUGAAAUUGUAAUCUCAAUCGAACCCUUUAGGAGGGAAAAUGACUUGGCUACCGACAAGCAGCGGCACACGACGCUGCGCGUCAGCAACAACAUAGAUGUGUUAUAAGCAGUUAUGACCAAGUCCUGUGUUCGUAACCGAGAAAACGCCAAAUGAUCAUUAGAAAUUGGACAUCUAUUAGCGGGCCAAGGAACUACUAAUGUUCCGCGGCAGGAGCUCCCCUUCGCUAUCAAAAAACACGGGCCAAGUAACUACUAAUGUUACGCGGCAGGAGUUCCCGGAAAAGUAGAAUGAAAAUAAGGUUCUCUAUUAGCCAAAUUGUCUUCACUGCCAACAGCUCCUGCCGCUACACUUACGUAGUUACUUGGUGCAUCUAGUAGAGGAGACUUACUUGUUGCAUUCUGAGUUUGAGGGGUAGUAGUUGUGCUCGUGCAGUCUAGUAGUCCAGGUAGUAGUAGUCCCGUGUAAGGGAGUUGACAGUUCCAGUUCUCAAGUCAGUAUUUGAAGAUAAAUUGACUGAGUAGCUAAGGUUUCUAAUAGUGAUUUGCCUUACUGAGUUGCCUUAGAUGCAGAAUAUGGGUCAUACACGGAUUCCAUUAAAGGAGAGAAAGAGAGUUACUGAUUCCAUUAAACCCCUAGGGCUAAGGAUUAUGUUUCCCCGGCAUCAAUCCCUCGCUGAGCUAGAGCACCAACCAAACCCUAACUACUUUCUCAUAAUUACACUACAGGCCGAAGAAAAGAAGGCAGAAUCCUUAUCUUAAUCAGUAUCAUCAGCAGAAUUGCCAGCCCUAUAGUAAGUUGUAAAAGGAGGAAUUACAGAAUAGAGUGGACAUUUUAUAGAAUAGUCAAGAAUUCUUUCCCUCGCCUCUUGCUCACGUUAGCGCAACAGCAACAGUCACUCUUUUAGCCGAUGAAGACAGGUAUUCCCAGUAGCGGGGGCAAACCAGACGAGCAUACAGAUACUAAUACUAGUGUCACUCUUUUUCUACUCCUAUGUUAUGUUUUCAAUUCAAUGAGUUUCUAGUUGUGUUUAUGUUUUCUGGCGUAACUAGUUAAGGGAAAAGAGGCCUUCACUGGAAUUGAUCCAGCUCCUUCUGUAUCGCUACUGGGUCUAUCUUCUUUAAGAUCGCUACUGGGUCUAUCUUCUUUAAGAAUAAAUGCACCAUAAGAGCUUGUCGGGGGGCAACAUCGGGAAUUGACUAUUUGCGGAGUAACAGAUAGGUUCAACGACCAGAACUAGAGGUUUGGAUACCAGAAAUAAGGAAAUGUCGAUGAAGCUUCUUCUUAAUAUGAUGAAACUCGAACUGGGCGAACAGAACGAAACCUGUCUUCGGCUUAGUGGCCCACUACUGAGUUAAUGCUCUAAAGUGAGCGGAAUGACAGAGUCUCCUUGUUAGCUUGUUCUGUGCGUGCCUAAAUGCCUUAUCAAGCGCCUUGCACUGAAGUCUCAUAUUAACAAGGAAGCAAGACUUAGUGCUAACGCUUAUAUGUCUUGUGGUGCGAGUGUUUUAGCAUAUUCGAACUGUGAUUAUCAUUGGCGGUAGUGAAAGAAAUAAUCUCGUAUCUAGAGGAGAAGCCCUAAGUAAAGUAAAGAAGAAUAAAGUAAUCAAACACAGAGGAGAGUGCGCACGCACCUUAGGUAAUUAUGUAACCCGACUGCCACUUAACUGACUACUUGACUUCGAGCAGAAAGAAUCUCAUCUGACAUAUAGUAUAAGUGCUAUACCUAACACAGCAGCUUACUCCAAUAACUACAGCUUAGUCCAAUAAACUACACUGCAAUAACUUAAAUAACGUCUUUCGCCUAUAAAGAAAGAUAGCCCAGAGAGUAAGGAAGCAAAGCAAUUAGUUGACUCUAUUCUAUAAACAAUGAAUGCUCAAUUCUCUGAUUUUGCCGACAUUCGGAGUGCGGGGUGCGAAAGGAAAGAACAAGCAACGUCGCCAGAGGUUGUGCUAACAUGAGAAAGCCCCUCCCUUGUUAACGGAGUUUUGAAGUCAAAGGGGAAGCUGGGUGUUUACUGAAUUCUAUACCUAUGUGUGUGCUUGAAAUUCCAUUUAUGGUUGCUCAAGCAAAGCAGUAAAGUAUCUCUGGUUUCGAUUCCAUUCUGAAAGUGUACGCGAGUAGAGUCAAGUAACUGCAAGGGAGCAAGAAGCAACUCGGUCGGGGACAAACGUAUCGUAUCGCAAAAGAACUCAACUAAUUAAAGGCUUUCUCAACAAGCAAUGGAGAUGAAGCAAGCAAACAGGAAGCAAGGCAACAAUUGAAUACUUCAAGUCAGAGGCAGAGUUUCGUUUACCAAAUACUUAUAAGACAGAGGCCGAGGCAAGCAACACACCUACUCAUAUAGCACAGAGGCAGAGUUGAGUUCACCAAAUACACUAUACAUUAGGGAUCGAGCAGAGUUUCGUUCAGCUGUCGUAUUCAAGGAGCACCACUUUGAGCACUACUUUGAGCAUACCCAGCUAGCAAACUACAGCUUCAAAGCAAACUAUAGCGAAAAAGAAGAAAGAGCAACCCGAGCGCCUAUAUUCUAUUCAAUAGGUAAAGCUCUAUAUUUAUUCAACAGGAAAGGGUGCUUCUUUACUUUUGGAUAGUGCUACAUCCGCCUAUGUCUAAAGGAAGGGUGCGUGCCUCUUGACUUUUGGAGUGCAAUGUCUGCCUAUGUCCUAAUGUGUAUAGGAGCACUUCAUUCCUUUUUUACUUGACUCUUACACUCCCAUCUUUCUUUCUUUCUCGUUGACUAGAUACCGCACAGUUUAUGGUCUUGUUCUUGAUUCAUCUCUGUCUUUUUAUUCUGCUUGAGAUCUGGUUUAUGAUUCCGAUCCUGCUUAGAAUCCAUUUCUAAUUAACCUAGCAGUAAAGACAGUUGGGCCGAGUAAACCAGUCAAAUAAAAACAAGUAAAGGAUCUUAACGCGGAAGCCAUAUAAAAAGAAGUUAGUCAUUCAGAUCGGAUUGUAUGCGGGAAAAGAUUGGAGCUAAGAGCCUCUUUGAAGUUUAUAUAAAUUAUGAAAGCAAGAGCGAAAGCAACAAAGGAUAAAAGAUGUCUUUGGCGAAAGUCUAUAAUUAGUAAGCUUUGGAAGGUAGGUUAGGUUAAUUAUUUCUAUACUUUUGUGCUGCGCUCAAUUCUCUGUAUGGCUGAUGUGUUUAAAUAAACAGCUUGUUCUUACCUUGGGCUUUGCCCCGAACUCCCCUUGAAGAAGCACCCCCUCCCCUUGAAGAAGCACCCUUUGAUACAACACUCGCUCGAACUACAGAUUCUGUUGAUAUAGUACCUGAGCCAGCAUCUUCUCUUACCGCAACACUUUGACCAGUACUUUCUGAUUUUCCUUCACUUGACUUUCGAACACCAUUUCCUAGCACAGAUCCGGACUCGUAACUUGCAGAAUUGACAACACUCGCACAACACUUGAAACCUUAUUCCAUGAAAAGCGAGUCUCACGACCUAGCCUAAGAAUGCACAAAUUCCAGAAGUAGCUAGCUAGUAGCCGCAUUGAAGCAGCAGCCUUUACGCAGAUAGAGCUUGAAGCCAAGGAAACCAACCCUCUUUUAAAGAAAGAUGAGAGGGGGAGAACUAAACAAUAGGAAGGGUCUGUCUUUAGUGAGCUUUCUUACACAAUAUCUCUCUCUUUGUGGACUAAUCCUUUGGAAUGUAUAGCACCUAACCUAAGAACUUAUUGAAAUUGCUAAUACCCGCGCAAUAGAGCAAUCAAUACUCUUAUAAAGACCGACUAGCAUUAGUAUGGAGGAAGCCUUAACCUUUCUAGCUGCUCCCCGCUGCCCCCUUUCUUUUGACCCUACUAAAACCUAAUAGGUUGAGCCACCCUUAGCGCACUUUGCUUAGGUCGUAAUACUCUUCUCUCCCCUUGGUUAGGAUCUUUUGUAGUUUACUAGACAUAAAGAUAGAUGGUUUACUAGACAUAAAGAUGGUUUACUAGACAUAAAAGUGUUAGGAUGGAUGGUUUUGAAGCUUCUUAUAUGGAGGAUUUUAGGGGUAAUAAAGCAACUUCCUUUCUGUGACAAGGCAUUCCAGAGCAUCAAGCAAUACUGAACAAAAGCACCAACCAGUCCUAGCCUAUACCGACCCACCAACGAGGUCUAGUUUUUUUAUUAUACCCACGUGCCAUGGAUCAUUCAUUCACUUGGGCUAGCCAAUAAGUAUGACGAAAGAAGGCAAAGACAAAGAGCAAACUCUUACAUAAGUAGAAUUAUGCUUGCCACUAUACAUCGGUAUAACUAGUCCUUUCUUUCUUUUGGAAUGCUCUCAUGUUUGCAGCACGGAAGAUGGCACCUAAUUGCCAAUCCCCUUUACCUGGUUGUCAUGAGUAAACCUUUGAAAGAUCCUUGUGACCAAGUUCACUGAACGACCGACUCGGGUCGAUACUGCUCUUUCGGGUCAGCUCUUUUAGUAAGUAGAAUAGAAUAUUCGUAUGUUGAACAAAAGGCCGUGAAAGGCCUGUAUAUUUGUAUUUCACUGGCAUCUUUCUUGAAGCACAUCCUCUGACUGCCUUAUUAUCCCUUCCCUUCAUUUCUAUUGGUAUUGGCUAUGGAAGAUGAGUUCUGCUUUGGCAUGAAGACUCGAGCCAAGGGGGGCGCCUCAAAAAGAUAUGAGAAAGGACGUCCGGGCAAUUUCUUAGUUCGUCUCUCUUACUCCCGAAGGAAAGAUGAUCCCGCAUUCCUUCACUUUCUUUGUCGGAGUCAUCUUACAACAAGGUGAAGCUUUCAACUUAUACGCAGUAGCUAAGCGCGUUGAAGCAAUUGGCCGGCCUUAUGCAAAAGACAUGGACACUCUCUUUUCUGGAUUCUCUCUCUUCCUCUUAUCUAACAAUUCUUUCACUAAAUUAUGAAACUAGGCGCUUAUUUGAUUAUUCAGAGGUUGGUUUCUUUCAGAGUUAAAGAAGAAGGAAGCUUGGGAGAAUAGGUUCCCACGGAUCGGUAAAAAGUAUGCAUCCUGAAAUCUUUAAUGAGAGGGUGAAGCCCAUUCAAAGCUCUGUGCUAGCACUCGACUUCGGUACUAGGCCUCUUACUAGAUAGAUCUUCGGAAUCUGAUGACCAGAUGCUCGGAAGUGAAAAGAGGGAGAAGAGAAAGUACUGAUUAGCAGCCCGGACUAAUGCCUUACCCCAAGCUCACAAGGUUUU